GUCAGUCGUAGAUGGACUCGUUGUAGGACUGUAUAAUGUCCGUAAGGAUGUUGUACAGCCCUUUAAAGUGUUGGGGAACGCGUGAGGGUGGAAACACAGCAGCGAGUACCGACAGCAAUGAAGAGCCGUCUCUAAGCUGAC
rfam:Nosema bombycis CQ1 unplaced genomic scaffold NBO_276, whole genome shotgun sequence.